CUAAAGGUCAUCGUGGUUUAUCACUUUUAUUGACUGUUUUCUCGUGUUAAUUGGGGUAUGUACUUAAGUCAAAAAAGUAAAGUUUUUUCGUGUUUUAAGUCUUUUCAUACAAUGGUUCGCACUUAGUUUGAUUCAAUAUUAAAAUUCUACGUAGGAUAAUGGCACUCGAGUAUUGACAACUAAUUUAUUAUCUUUUUUGGAUGAAAAUGGUAUUCUUUUUCAGACAACUUGUGUUGGUACUCCAUAACAAAAUGGAGUUGCUGAUGCAAAAUUCGUCCAUCCUUGCUGACAGGUAGCUCGCUCUGUGAUCUUUUGUUUACCCAUGAAUGUGCCCAAGUAUCCUCUAGGGUGAGGGGCGAUUUUGACUGCAACCUACCUUAUUAAUCACAUGCCAUCCAGUUGUCCUUAACUUCAAAACACCUAUUGAGUAUCUUCCUAGCCAUUUUCAUGUCACAAAUCUUCCCCCACGAGUUUUUGGUAUGUGUUUUGUGCAUGCUCUACAUCCCUCUGGUGGCAAGUUCAGUCCUAAGGCUCAUAAGUGUGUUUUCAUAUGGUAUUCCCCUACCCAGAAAGACUAUAAAUAUUAUAAUCCUUCAUCUGGAAAGUUUUUGGUCUCUAUAGACGUCACCUUUUGAGAAAUCGAGUCUUUUUUCUCUCCCUUUACUCCAUCUCUUCAGGGGGAGCAUGGACAGGGGGAAGAGAUGUUUUCUGGGGAAGGGGAGAAGCUGUUUUAUAACCAUGGUGAGGGGACUGGUGAUAGGAGGAAGGAAAGAUCUGGAGAGGAACCAAUAUCUCCUGAAAGAGCAACGACGUGACAUUAGUGGUGAUCCUAGGAGGCAAGUUUUUCCACCGGUUGCAAGAGUCUAACCUUGAAGACAUACUCUCGCAGAGAAAAAGAAAACAUCUCGUUGUGUGAUAACCACCAUUUGCCAAUUACAAGUCUCGUCUGCUUCAUUCCUACCUCUCUUCUCUCACCUCAUCUGCAAUAACUCUUCUUCCAUAACCCCCCCAUUAUUCGUUGAUCUUCCUAUUGCUUUCCGAAAGGUUGUUUAGAUCAUAUAUUCAACAUUUCCAUCCCCAAUUUGUCUCUAUGAUCGUUUGUCUCCUUCGUAUCAUGCCUUUGUCUCGUCUCUUUCUUCAUUUAUAUCACAAAUUUGCAGGAUACAUUAUGAUACCUAAGUAAAAGGAAGAUAUGGUAAAGAAUAUGAUGGAUUUAAAAAAGAAUGGCACUUGGGAGCUUAUAUCACUUCCGGAGAAAAACAAAACAUGGGGUGCAAAUGACUGGGAAUUUUUCACCGUUAAGUCACUAAUGUUUGAUGGUACAGUUGAGCAGGUACAAGGCUAAUUGUUCCCAGGUUUUACCCAAACUAUGGUAUUGACUCUGAUGAGACGUUUGCCUCCAUAGCGAAGAUGAACUCUGUGCGGGCUCUAAGUUUUCUUGAGCUACUAAUUUGAAAUGGCCUCUACAUCAGUUUGAUGUGAAGAUGCAUUCAUUCAUGACGAGUUCGAGGAGGAGGUGUACAUGAUAAUCCCACUAGUUUUUUCUUUUUCUUUCACUAGACGAGGGAAAGGUAUGCAGAUUGAAAAAGGCUCUUUAUGGGUUGAAGCAAUCACGGGUGUGGUACAAACCAAUGCAAUGCAGAUCAUACUAUAUUCAUCACGAAAGGUGCAUGGUAAGAUUGAUGUUCUUUAUUGUGUAUGUUGAUGAAUGAUAGUGAUAGGAGAUGAUGUGAAUGAUAUUCUCAAUCUUAAAUCUCGUUAGCUCAAGCAAUUCGAAAUUAAGGAUUUUGGAUCUCUAAGAUACUUUCUUGGGAAUGGAAGUGGCAGGCCCGGUCUGAUAGAGGUAUUUUUUUAUCCCCAACGGAAGUAUUCCUGUGAUCUUUUGGAAGAAACAGGUAUGUUGUCUUGGCAGGCUGGUAACUUCUCCUAUUGAUGCGAAUCAUCAUCUUAGUGGAGAUAUAGGGGAACGCACCAACAAGGAGAUGUAUCAGCGAUUGGUAUGUCGGCUGUUUACUUAGCUCAUACGAGACCAGAUAUUUCUUGCAUUGGCGUUGUCCAAUCACUUUAAUGCAUGAUCCUCGUACUUCACAUUUGGAUGCAGUUUUCGUAUUUUGAGGUAUCUCAAUCACUCAGGUAAAGGAAUUCUGCUUUCUAAUCACGGUCAUUUUUCAGUUGGAGAUAAUCACUAAUGCAGACUGGGCUGGUUCUGUGGCUGAUAUACUCUCCUACAAUCCGGCUAUUGUAAACUUUCCUGGUGGAAACUUGGUUAACUUGGCGGCAGUAAGAAGCAUCGGUGGUUGCCAGAUCUAGCAUUGAGCUGAGUAUAGAGCUAUGGCUCAUGGUGUUUGUGAGCUCUUGUGGUUCCAAACCUUGUUGCAUGAUUUGGGUGUUUCGAUUGAUGGUCCUAUGAAAGUUUACUGUGACAAUAAAGCUGCCAUAAAUAUUGCCCACAACCCUGUUCAACACUAUAGAACGAAGCAUAUCGAGAUUGAUAGACACUUCAUCAGAGAAGUUUGAGUGAGGGUUUAUCUGUCUGACUUUUUUUGAAAUCCGGGAUCACUAGUUACAUUUUCCAAAGGUCUUAGCAGCAAGAGUUUUCAACCCCAUUGUGUUCAAUUUGGUGUUCAAAAGUUGGGGGCAUAAUCGAUAUCUUCGCACCACUUGAGGGGGACUGUUAAGUUAUGGGGUUAACUGUUAAUUUCUGUCUAAUUGUAUGUUAUUUAUAUUCACCUCAUUUAAUUAGUUUGUAGUUACGGAUUUAUUUAAUUUUUCACUUUUGCUCCUCUUGUAAUAUAUUUUAUACGUAAUGAGAAGAAAAACCUAAUUUUCUUUUGCCCUCCAAAAACUUACAAAAAUCUACAGAGGGUUAAAAUAGAUUGGAGGUAACACAAAUUUGUUACUUAAAUUUGUGAAAGAUCUACUUAAUUUCUUCAUCUCAUGGGGAGAACUAUUUUCCACAAUCCGUUGCCAAGAAAAAUUUCUCAAGCUUCGUUUAGAGUUUCAAUUGCAAUGAAUUAAUCCAAGAAAGUCGAUAGUUGGCAACUUGUUGAAUCUGGAUAGCAUUGUGUAAAUGUGACAAUCAGAAUUCACCAAAUAUCCCUCUUACAACUAUCAAUCCGGUACUACUACCUACAAUUAUCUGAGACAAGGGAUGCAUUCUUAGGAUUUAUUUAAAAAUAGAAAGCAAAACCUGUAGUAAGUCCAAAAUGAAAUAUAGCUUGCUUCUAACCCGUUCAAGUUUCUGCAGCUGUAUUACGAAUAAACAAAUUCUGAUUCAGUUAGUUAUCAGUUGAUACACAGUAUAGUUAAUGUAAUAACCCGAUUUUAUGUUUUGGGUUUUAAUUGAAAGGAUUAUAAAUUUUGGGAUAAAAUUAAAGAAGAUAUAAAAGUUGAGGAAAAAUAUUGUAAUUUAUAGGAUGUGGGGGACAACUUUCGGCGAUAAGAGAAAGAAAAAAAAAAGAAAAGGAAUAGAAAAUAGAAAAGAAAGAAAAAGGGAAAAGAAUAAAGAAAAGAAGUAAUGAUGAUGUUUUUAUACUGUUUGUAUAAGAGAAGAUAGAAUGGAGAGACUUAGAGAGAGGAUCCACGGCAGAGAGGAGGGAGAAAUGAUAAAAUAAAGAAAUAGAGAUAAGGGAAAUUAUAUGGUAUGGUGAGAAUAACAAGUGAUUCAGAUUGCAAUCAACGAUGAAUGAUGUCCGGAUCCAGUGGAAUUUUAGUAAUGAUCAUGGGAGCCAGAUCUUCAUCUCUAAUGGUGUGAAUUUGAGGUAAGGCAGGAGGUAACAUAUGCGUUCUAAACCCGUAGUUUUUUUUAAAAUAUCUGAUAUUUGUAUUCCUCUUGAGCAGUGUGCUAUUUGGUUUGAAAUCCAUAGAUUUUUGUUUGGCAUCGUGAAUGAGGAUGAUAUUGUUUUGGUGGCUAAAUGUAUUAAAUAGAAUGGUAGCAUGUACUCUACUCUGGUGGACCCGCCAAUAGUUCCACUAAUGACCGAAAAAGCCGAUAGGUAGGAGACGUGGAUGAGGGCCAUUCACUAGUAUGUCUCAGAAAGACCUGGUUGAGGUCUUUGAUGAAAUAUUGAUUCGUUGUGGCUACUCUGACAUUUGAAUUGUUGAGCCAUAUUUGAUUCGUUGAGCAUUUUCCGUCGUAUUGUAUACUUCCCUGUAUAAAUGAUUUUUCAGGAGGACAUGGGAGUUCGGAUAGUACGAGAGGGUCGAGGAAAGACUUGAAGAUUUUGAUCUUUUUUGUAUAAAAAAAAUUUGAGACAAUUGUAAAAAUAAACAGUUGGAGACUAUUGAAUAUUUGAAAGAAAAUCGUGCUCUGAUUUUGUAUUCGGGAAAAUACGGCGAAUUUAAGUAGUUAAUUAACGGCCGCGGAGGGUCGGGUCCGUCACAAAAUGGUAAUCCAGAGCUUAGGCUUUAAGGUCUUACAUGGACGGGUGUGGGAGGUUUAGGUGUGUAGAAUCUUACAUGGUAUCGUAUGAAAGUACGGGCUCUUAGGUAUAAUCGGGUGAUUUACACACGAAAACAAAAUAGAUUUUUUGUGUUAUCAGUGCGCAGUGGAAGCGUGAGUUUUUGAUAAUCACAAAAUAGGAAUUUUCAAAUUCGAGGACGAAAUUUCUUUAAGAGGGAGAGAUUGUAAUAACCUCGAUUUUAUUUUGGGUUUAUUAAUUUAAAUGAUUAUAAAUUUUGGGAUAAAAUUUAAAGAGAUCUAAAAGUUGAGUAAAAAUAUUGUAAUUUAUAGGAUUUGGGGGACAACUUCGGCGUAAGAGAAUAAGCCCACAAAAAAAAAAAGAAACAGGAAUAGAAACAGAACAGACCGAAACGGAAAAUAAUAAGAAAAGAAGUACAUGAUGAGUUUUUAUCUCUGUUUUGUCUAAGGAGCACGAUCGUAGGGCGAGCCUGCGCGAGAGAGAGCACUGGCAGAGAGGAGGGAGAAAGAGAGAAAAGAAAGAACGAAUAUCCAUGAAAAUUAUAUGGUAUGUGAGAUAGAUCAAGUGAUAUAAUGGAAA
rnacentral:lncRNA from 1 species